CUCCUGAAGUUUCGGGCACCAUAGAGGAAACUCUAUGAGUGAAUGUGGUUAAAUUCGGUGAACCCUAAAGAGUUAGAACUCCCUCAUGGGAAAACUAUAAGGGAAUACCGAGCCAAGCCCAAAAAUUUGAGAUUUGAGAUUUAAGAUUUGAAAUUUUAUUUAUGGAAUCCAAAAUCCAAAAUCCAAAAUCUAAAAUCGAGGGAAGGUGUAGAGACUAGUAAGCCACCGCCUAAAGGUACAAAACCUAUGGUGAAGGUAUAGUCCGGAGAGUGGGGAAACUCACAC
rnacentral:ncRNA from 1 species